rnacentral:rRNA from 1 species
UACGAAGGGGGCUAGCGUUGUUCGGAAUUACUGGGCGUAAAGCGCACGUAGGCGGAAAUUUAAGUCAGGGGUGAAAUCCCGGGGCUCAACCCCGGAACUGCCUUUGAUACUGGGUUUCUUGAGUUCGGAAGAGGUAAGUGGAAUUGCGAGUGUAGAGGUGAAAUUCGUAGAUAUUCGCAGGAACACCAGUGGCGAAGGCGGCUUACUGGUCCGAUACUGACGCUGAGGUGCGAAAGCGUGGGGAGCGAACAGG